GACAGAGGGUGCAAACGUUGUUCGGAAUUACUGGGCAUAAAGCACACGUAGGUGGUCCGCUAAGUCGCGUGUGAAAUCCCCCGGCUCAACCGGGGAAAUGCGCGUGAUACUGGCGGGCUUGAGAUCGGGAGGGGUGAAUGGAACUCCAGGUGGAGCGGUGAAAUGCGUAGAUAUCUGGAGGAACACCGGUGGCGAAAGCGGUUCACUGGCCCGACACUGACACUGAGGUGCGAAAGCUAGGGUAGCAAACGGG
rnacentral:rRNA from 1 species